rnacentral:rRNA from 1 species
CUGGCUCAGGAUGAACGCUAGCUACAGGCUUAACACAUGCAAGUCGAGGGGCAGCAUUGGAGUAGCAAUACUCAGAUGGCGACCGGCGCACGGGUGAGUAACACGUAUCCAACCUGCCGCUUACUCGGGGAUAGCCUUUCGAAAGAAAGAUUAAUACCCGAUGGUAUAAAGAGUUCGCAUGUUCUCUUUAUUAAAGAAUUUCGGUAAGCGAUGGGGAUGCGUUCCAUUAGAUUGUUGGCGGGGUAACGGCCCACCAAGUCUACGAUGGAUAGGGGUUCUGAGAGGAAGGUCCCCCACAUUGGUACUGAGACACGGACCAGACUCCUACGGGAGGCAGCAGUGAGGAAUAUUGGUCAAUGGACGAGAGUCUGAACCAGCCAAGUCGCGUGCAGGAAGAAUGUCCUAUUGGAUUGUAAACUGCUUUUGCAGGGGAAUAAAGUGCAUCACGUGUGAUGUUUUGUAUGUACUCUGCGAAUAAGGAUCGGCUAACUCCGUGCCAGCAGCAGC